AACGAACGCUGGCGGCAUGCCUAACACAUGCAAGUCGAACGAGACCUUCGGGUCUAGUGGCGCACGGGUGCGUAACGCGUGGGAAUCUGCCCUUUGCUUCGGAAUAACACAGAGAAAUUUGUGCUAAUACCGGAUAAUGUCGCAAGACCAAAGAUUUAUCGGCAAAGGAUGAGCCCGCGUAAGAUUAGGUAGUUGGUGGGGUAAUGGCCCACCAAGCCGACGAUCUUUAGCUGGUCUGAGAGGAUGAUCAGCCACACUGGGACUGAGACACGGCCCAGACUCCUACGGGAGGCAGCAGUGGGGAAUAUUGGACAAUGGGCGAAAGCCUGAUCCAGCAAUGCCGCGUGAGUGAUGAAGGCCUUAGGGUGUAAAGCUCUUUUACCCGGGAUGAUAAUGACAGUACCGGGAGAAUAAGCUCCGGCUAACUCCGUGCCAGCAGCCGCGGUAAU
rnacentral:rRNA from 1 species